UACAGAGGGUGCAAGCGUUGUUCGGAAUCAUUGGGCGUAAAGCGCACGUAGGCGGCUUUGCAAGUCGGGUGUGAAAGCCUGGGGCUCAACCCCAGAAGUGCAUUCGAAACUGCAGAGCUUGAGUCUUGGAGAGGGUGGUGGAAUUCCGAGUGUAGAGGUGAAAUUCGUAGAUAUUCGGAGGAACACCAGUGGCGAAGGCGACCACCUGGACAAAGACUGACGCUGAGGUGCGAAGGCGUGGGGAGCAAACAGG
rnacentral:rRNA from 1 species